GGUUCAACCACGGUUCAACCGGUUACAACGAAUUUAUCAUUAAAAUAAUAAAAUUAUAUUUUUAUUAUAAAUAAUAAAAAAUAUUUUUUAUCCAUUCAUAGUAAAAAAUUAAUCAUAGUAAAAAAUUAUUCAAAAAUUCAAAAUUUAAUUCAAAUUUUGGAGUCAAUCUGUAAAAAUUACAACUUAAUUUUUCUGUUAAAAACCGACCGGUUCAAACGGUUAAAAAAUCGGGCCGGUUCAACCGGUUCAUUCCGGUUCGAUUGCAUUUCUGGUAAAUAGUUGUACCGAACCGGUUUAGUGUACGGUUCCCGGUUGAACCGGUUGAAACGGACGGUUCGGUCCGAUUUUAAUAACUAUGGUUUAAAUUCUAAAUUUGAUGAGAAAAAAAUAAAUAAAAAGAGAAAAGUUAGACAACUCAAUCGUCGGGAUUAUUAGAUUAUCUACCUUUUUUUAUUUUAUUUUUUUUCACAAAAUCUUUAAUCCAAAAGCUGUAAAAAAAAAAUAUAAUUUGAUCAAAAAAUUAUAUUUUUUCCAUAUCUCUUAAUGAAAAAAAUAUAAAAAUAUAAAAAAUAUUCAAUUUUUUUUAUAAAAUCUACAAAAGACAAAAUUAAUUUAUUAAAUAUAAAUAUUUUUUUAUUUUUAGUAUUUUUUUAAAUUAGAUAAAAAAUUUACAUUUUAAAAUUCUUUUCGUUAAAAAAUUUAAAAUACAUAAAAUUAUGAUCAAAUAAUAAAAAAAAUCACUAAAAACGAAAAAUUUAAAAAGGAAAGAUAUUAAAAAUUUAUUUUAAAAAUUAAACGAAGUUACCAAACAAAAGCAUAAUAAAUAUUUUAAUCUUUAAUAAAAAGUUAAAUUACCUUAAGACAACUUAGCAUCAAUUCAAAGGAAAAAGAUGUACCAUAGGAUAGAGACGCAUUGUCAAAAGUCAAGGAAUUCCAUGAUGGAUAGUUAUCAAAAAAAGCUGGGGCAAACUUGUCAUUAUCCUUUGCUCCAACUUUCUUUGAUCUAGGUGGCUUUAUUUUUUUUAUUUUUUAUUUUUGGAAUACGCAAGUAUUUGAAUUUGUCAACUGGCUAAAAUGUAAAUUUUUUAGUUGUAAUAAUAAAAAAUAAUUCUUGGUAUAAUUGCGUGUUUUUGCUAUGUCUUUGAAAAUAAAGAAAUGAAUGGACAAUUAGUGUGUUAUUAAAGUCUAUGGGAUAGUUAUGUCAGAAAAAUUGAUCAUAUACAGACUUUUUUUAAUUAUUUUUUUUACUCUUUAGAAAAUUCAUUUGGAUGAAUUUGAAUAUUAGUUGUUUUUGAAAAUUUUAAUAAUUUUUAAUUUGAAGUUUUUAUGCCUUUUUUUAUCUUUUAUUUUUUUACUUUUUUGUAGAGAAUCAAAUAAGUAAAGAUUUUAAUCAAAAAGAUAAACAAAAUAUUGAUGAAAACAAAAUUAAUCAACUCGAUUUGUAAUUAGCGUGAAUAGGCACUAAGCACAGCGGUCCCCAUUUAAACUGGUAGCUACAAAAUUGUAAGGGGAUAUAAAAAUUCAAGUAUUAGUUCUGGCUGAGGUAAGGCAGUACGCCGCCUGAAUGUCGCUAUAUUAGCAAGUCAACUGGUAUAUGUGCCGAAACUCAGUCGAAAACAAAUGAUUGACUGACGAUCCCAAUGCAACAGUAAGGGACAAAAUGUGACUUGUACGACGAUGUUUUCGUUGAACUCACCCGCGACUAGAUCGUCGAGGACACCGGCAACACGACAUGUAGCUACUAGUCAUGCUUUAGGGGCAUGGCUGGGGUGGGGCCAUGGGGCAAUAGUCUACUCACUAAUAUAGCAGGUUAGCGUGUCGCGAGCCGGCCCUGGGCAUUAGGUCCAGUAGGCCUGUAUCUGGGGCCCAAAAAAAUAGUUCAUUUGGGGCCCCGGGUCCAAUAUGUUAUAGUAUAGAUAUGACUUUUUGUGUACUGAAUUAUAUAUAUUUUGAUACACGAAAUAAUAGUCUUGUAUUGUAUUUUAAGUUCUCAAUUUUGUUUGAAACUACCCAGAGAUGUUGAUAUUUGUGUGUAAUAUAUAAUUCGUUUCAUCGGAAAAACAAUGUGAAUGGGCCUCAAAUUGAGAUUUAGAAUUGGGUCCUCGAGAAACUCAGGGCCGGCACUGGCGUUUCCCAACAUCGCGCCGAGCUGGCAGUAUGUCUAGUGACAUGACGGUAACGCUCCAGGUACGUACUAAACGAUGCUAUAUUAGAAGACUACCUUAUCUUUCAAAUGUAUGCAAUUUAUUGUACUCUAAUCCUAAAAACUCCUUUACAUACCCUUAUUUUAUCCCAUUCAUCUUGACCGUCGGAGAGCCGUCGCUGGGAUACUUCUGACGAUAUUUUCUCACCUUUUUAAUGUUACAGUUCCGCCCUGUUUACUAAUGUCAGGCAACCGUAAAUUUACUGAUGUCUACCUCAUGUAUCUAUUUUUGAUUUUCUCAAUUCCAUUUUUAGCACUCACAUCCCCACAAAAUAUUUUUUUCUACUUUGGAUAAAAACGGUAAAGUGGUCAAAAAAAUCACUUUUAUUUUGAGAGUAGCUAAAAGGAUGAUAUAUUUUAGCUUAAUAAUCCUUUCAAUAAACUCACGCCACACACCAAAAGAACUAGAAACUUGGUAAAAAUUCACAAAAAAACUUAAUCUAAGUCGAAGGGGUAUGCUAUGGGUACAACUAUGUGCACCAUAAAUGCACACUUAAUGCGCUGUUUGCAUUUGGGAUUGGCUGGAUAGUUGGGUUCACCCAUUCUUUCAUCUCACACCCAAUCAAUCCACUAUACAUCUCUUAGGUGUGCAUUUGGGGUGGCACUAUAAUUUUUACCCAUAGCAUUACCUACGUCAACAGUCCACCCAACCUUUACCCCACACCCAGUUAUCUAAAUAUACAUUUCAUUAGGUGUGCAUUUGGGGUGCACUAUAAGGUACCCAUAGCAUUACCAAGCAAAGUAUGCCCAGCUUUAUACAUCAUGGUCGAGCCUUUAUUUUUAUCAUUUUUUUUUUAGUACUAUUCUGAUUAUAUAGACUUUUACCCAACACCACUCUCUCUCCUAUCAUCUACUCGGGGGUAGGAAAUACCCGCCUGGCCGUUACAACCCAUCUGUCGUGCUAUGAAGUCCUCUGCUGUACUAAUAUUUUAAUAUUUAAGACGACAUCAAUAAUCGAGAUUUAUUAUGUGGGUCCAUGCUUCAUGUGAAACCCAAUCAGCAGCCUAUGGCUAUUUGAGGAAGGGGCUUUAGACCUCUUGGAUCCUUGAAGUAUAGCAUUGUGGAAGUAGUUUUAAAUGGUAUAUAAUAAUAUUGUUUGUAUAUUGUAAUUAAAAUAAUGUCCUUUUUAAUUAAUAAUAAAUGACGUUAUUUUGGUCCUCAUAUAUAUAAACGUAUCGUUUUGUACACUUUAAUGAAUACCUUCACUAAAUACUACUCCUAGGAUCCUGAACUAGGGUGUCUUUCUUCUGGCACUCAAACAAGACAUAAGUUCAUUCGGGGACCUUCUAAAUGCCACAUGUAAAACGUUUUUUUUACAGGAAACCCAACCUUUUUAAUUACAACCACUUACAAAGUUCCACACACUUCGAGAUUUCAUUCUUCCUUUUUCAUUAAUCUUUUAUAACCGUUGUCUCUCUGCUUCCGCUAAUGGCAACAAUUGGAAGGAGGGGUUGGGGGACGUAACAGUUCGAAUGGGCGAGAGAAGAAUGGCAGAAUCAUGUUCUAACAUAGGAGGAUCGAAGGAGGGGGGGGGGACCGUUUUAUGAGAUUUCAAAUGCUGUAGCGAGAACGGAAGAAUUAGGUUGUAACAAAGGGAGGAUCACUAUUAUGGAGACGAGACGUAGAAUUGAGAAUGGGUUGAGAAUACAUUUGUUUGAAAAUUACAAUUUUAUUUUCUGACUAUUUUUCCAACAAUUAAUGUUUUUAUAACAUCGUGCUAUUCGGCCAAAUUUUUUAAUUGUAACUACUUAUUGUCCUGGCUCACAUGUAUUACUUAAAAAUAAAAAAUACACAUUUUAUGCGUACCGUUAAAAAUUUUAACAAUUUAAAAAAUAAUAAGAUUAAACGUAAUAUAAAGAUACAUUGCAGGCAUAUACAAAGCAAUAUUUUCUGGCAAAAUAAAAAUAAUAGAAGUUAAUGAUUUUAAAAAAAUUUUGCUAGCGUGAGAGAAAUGAGGAAAAAAAAAGGUUGUUUGUAAUUUUAUUUUUGUGGGUCCUAUCUAAAAAAUGAUCCAAUAAUAAAAAAUAAUAUCUAACUUUGAGAUUUUUUGUCCAUUAAAUAAAAAUCGCUUGAAUCCCACACAUUUGAGAAGAAGACAAAUAAUAUUAAACAAAAAAUAAUUUCAAGCAAAAUUUCCGCCGUGGUAACUUAAAUAAUUUCAAUCGUAGAUAUGAAAGAUAUUUUUGUAAUUUAAAAUGAUUUGUGAUUUAUAAUAUAGUAGUGAUAUUUUUGUCCGAUUUUAAUCAAAUAAAAUAUUGGCAUUAAUAUUUUGCUUUGUAUUCCAAUUACCCCCCAAGACUCUGGUUUGGUGGGCCUACUGAGAAGAAAGGAAAUGUUUUGUGAAAUUCUUUAUUUUUGGAUAGGAAUGGUGUGUGGAAGAAAACUCUCCCCUAUCCCGCGUUCCCAGCCCGUGUGGACCCUUUUUCCGCUUAAUCUGUUACAAACGGUUCAAGAACACGAUAAUAAUGACAAAUUGCAAUAUACUAUAUAUAUGUAUGAAGUUGUAAUCUACCGAUCCACAGCUACGCUCUUUUUUGGAGGGUACCAAUCUUCGUCCGCAAGAAAUUUCUUCGAAAAGUGCCGAUCUCGUAUAACGCGUUGGACGCAAGGUGAUCAAUGAUAGCCUCUCUAUAUUGUGUGUACGCGCUUGUGAUUUUCGAAUAUUGUCGGUAGUUGUGUUCUUCUGAUCAAUUAGGGCUUCUUUACCACUUGUAAGUGGCCGAUUUGUUUUCUGAUUCAAGAUGUCCGAAUAAUGAGCUUUACAGGUUUUGAUGCGAUUUUGAUGCGUGAAAAUAGGUUGGAAAUUGUGGUUUAUUAAGAACCUGUUUGAAUGGAUGGCGUAGAUCUUAAAUGUCUUAUAUCGAAAUUGUUAUUGUGCUGUCGAAAUUUAUUGUUGUUUGCAGGGGAAUGAAUUUAUGUUGCUUAGGUUGAUUUCAUGAAAGAAUUUGUGUGAUGACCUUGUUUCCUUUCGUUGAAGAAUUUCGCCUCAUAUUUUUUUUUAGUUUCUAUGGGUGUGGAUUUAUGGAUGAGGAAAAGAAAAUCGAGGAUAGACACCAAGGCGGUUCUGCGGCGGACAAAGUUGCUGCAGUCAGUCACCAAUCGGGGAUGUGCUAGCUGCACCACAAAAAGAGUAAGAACGGCCACCAGAGUUGUUUUCGGGAGAAACGUGCUCUCCGUACGGUUUUAAGGUUAGAUGACCGGGAGAGGAGAAUGUUAGAGAGUGUGAAUAUAUUUCACCAGAUGAAUUUGCGUACCUCUGAAGAAAGAAAAGGUGGACUCUAUAUGACACAGCUCGGCGCUGAGCACCCGUGUGCCUUGAGCACCAACUGUUUUGUCACUGAAACGGGGCUGGUCUCGAUGCGUGCUCGUACACUCGAUUUGUUGUAUUAGUGGAAUAGGUGGCUGACCCAGCAAGGCUUAAAGGCCUGGCUGGUAACCUGUCAUCGAACGGCCGAUGUCUCCAUCCGAGUGUGGGGGCUGUCAGAAGAAGUUUCGCCGUGCAAGUUACCUUCUAUCCCCUGGACUGACCACGCCUUAGGAAUCGCCUGUCGUCCGUUGCCCCGUCCAAAUUACGACGAGGCUACUCCACAGAGCUUGCCUAAAUAGGACGCCAGCUCGGGAGCAAUAAUGGCCUCUAGCUCGGACGGUACUUGUGUUCAGUGUGUCUCGACGAGAGCUCAAGCGUAGGGGUCAUCGAAACUUGCUUCGUAGCAAUAGCUCGGUGGCGGUGCCAGCCCUGUAUGGCCAUAAUUCCAUAGUUGUAUAUUUUAUUCCCUUCAAUUGUCUCUUUUCCCCAAUUUGCAUGAGCUGGGUCAAUGUUUGCCGAGGUGUGUGAACUGGACGCAUUCCUCUUCCGAGUUCGGAGCGUGCUGAGAACGUUGAUAACUUUGCUAUCUGUUUUCCUCCUAUCUAGUCUUAUCAUUUUCAUUGUCCUAUUUGACCAUGUGGCCUAGGUCUACUUAGGUUCGUUGUGCUUGUUUGUUGCACUGGUGGCCGCGGUCUUUACUUGCUCCUUGGCUCUUUUGGUAGGACGUGGCUGGGUGACUACCACGUUCUUUUCUCACUGGUUCUAGAGUAGUUGCCCGCGUGUGAAUCCCGUGCCCGACUAAGAUACAUUUUGGGCUUUCCUCCCGCCUCUUCUCCUUCGCAUAUAGUGAUUUGUUCGUCUUCCUCCCUUCUUCACUGUUCAUGAAUCCUGAGAGCGUUUUGGGAUAGAGAAAGUGCUUCCUCUCCUCUGUUUGGCCGGUCGAUUUGUUUCGUCCGACCACGUCCAUUCUCGCAACUGAUCUUCGACUGGUCUCCAGUCACCUUCUGAUUUUCCGCUUUGCUUCGGUACGCUUUUUGUUUUCAUUCUGCAAUUCCUAUGGCAGUUUUUGUGUAUUUCUUCUGCUUUGGUAUGCUUUGGUUUGCCUUGCGUUUGCCUAUCUUUGGGCUUUUGUACUGAGUUGACGAACUUAGAUUGCCACCAUUGUUGGGGCUCUGAAUUUUUGAAUUUCUGCAAACUAGGUCACCCUCGACCUGUUUCCCAUAAUGAGAUGGGGGCUGGGCUGCCUUGUAAAAUAUUGGUCUCAGGGUUUUGUCCCUAAGCUCUUAUGUUUGGUCCACGGUAGAUUCGAGGCCGUAUGAUCUUACUAUCCGUCUAAGAAUUAAUGAGUAGUUUGUAGUGGGUAGCUCGGUGUUCUUGGCGGCUCGUUUGACUCCGCUUCCAAAAAGCUCGUUAUCCCCCGCAACUCUAGCUGAGCUCCGUUUUAAACUGACUUGCCUCUUGUUUUUAGAACAUGGAGUUAGAAACAGAGCUUAGUUUGCUGUUCAUAACGACGUCGACUUCGCAUAGUUUAAAUACCACAACAUUCCCGAGGGUGUUCAAUAGAGCCAAGGUUCUCAAAAUCGCUAGGCCGUUAUCGGCAGCCGGGGGGGCCUAGCGCCCUAGCGCCUGGCGGUUUUUUUAUUAUUAGUAUUAUUUAUUUAUUUCGGAUUCAUUAAUAUUUACUAAAAUAAGAUAAAUGACCAAUUCAAUUUUAACCAAAAAAUGAUAUCAAAUAGUAAAUUCAAAUUUUAAUGUUGAAUAAUACAAAGAGGAGAUAGAAAGGCAAUUUUCGGUCUUCAAAUAAUAUAAAUUAUAAACUAGAUCUCUAAAAAGUGCUAGGCGUUAAGCUAGCGGGCGGGCGAGGGCCAAGGGCCCUAGCGGGCCUAAGCGUCCUGGGCGGCCGAGAGUGCCUAGCGCCUAGGCGGAGGAUUUUAGAACAGAGGAUAGAGCACCCAUGACAACACGGAAUCCACCUCAUUGAGGGCGGCCAAGAACUGCAUACUGGUUCGUACUUUGCUGAUUCACUGCCGUGCUUAGGUUCUCAAUCAUCCCCAUGCUGAAAGAGGUGAUGGCGCGUUGCGCCUCCCUUCAUGCAGGUGUCUGUCAAUUUUUGUCUGAACCGUGUGCUGUGACAUUUUGAUCUGUGCUUUUCGGCCAACUGGGUUUGCAGGGUAUUUGAUGGUUAUUGUCCGUCGUCUCUCCUCAAGGGAGGAACCUGACCCGCGUUUCUCCGAUAUGUGGCCUGACUUGUCCUCUGGGCAAUCAUCCAUAUUUGGCCCUCUGCUCCUAGAGUUUUUUGGGUGCAUCAGGUAUCUCCUUAGUAGUUUCUCGAGGCCGGAACGGUUUGCUGCUUUGUGAACGCCCUCGACUAGUUUUGCAAAUGGUCUAUAAUCGAUUUUCCACAGAAGGCGCCAAUGUGGGGGUGAAUUAUAUUAAGAUAAAUCAAGAAAUUGAGAACUAGACACUUGCAGUGGUUUUUGGCGUAGAGUCAAAGUUCUUGCAUUCAGUCACCAUCGUGAUGUGCUAGCUGCACACAAAAAUAGUGAGAAUGGCCGUAGAGCCUGUUUUCGGGAAACGGAUCUCCAACGAUAAGUUAGAUGACCAGAGAAUGUUGAGAGAGUGUUGUGUAUAUGUUUUACCAGAGUGAAUUCGCAUCCCUUUGAAGAAAGAAAGGCGGGUUCUAUAUGGCAUAGCUCGACGCGUGCCUUAACGCACCCGUGGGCUGUCACUGGAUGGCUAUGGUCGGUGCAUGCUGUACAAUGCCGACCGCCUAGUAAUGGUAGGCAGCUGACUUGCCAGCUCCUAAGGCCUGGUUGGUAGCUAUCCAUCGAACAUGCCUACGUCUCCAUCCGGGUGUGGGGGACUGUUAGAAAAUGUUUUCGCACUGUGCAAGUUACCUUCUGUCCCCUGACACGCCUUCGCGAUGAUGGCAUGUCCGUUGCCCUCCGUCCAAACUCCGGCGCGGCUACGCCAUCGCCAGCUUACUAAAUAGCGCCAGCUCGGGGAGAGCGAUUAUGCGCAUUUGCUCGACAGUGCUGUGUUCCGUGGUUUGUUCGACCGAGCUCGGCGCAGGGCCACCGAGUUUGCUUCGUAGCGAUAGCUCGGUGCCGGGUGGCGGUUGCCCACCCUGUAAGGCCAGAAUCCAUAGUUAUAUUUUAUCCCCUUACAGUUUCUUUCUCUUUUCAUAGCCGUUUUGUUAGGAUCCUAUUUUCAUCCUAUUUUAACUAAUUUGUUCUAUGAGGUUGUGUGUUUUAUUUCUAAGAUCUGAUUGAAUUUCGGAAAAAUUUGUGAUUCAAGUGGAGAACCGUGGAAGAGCUAGAGUUAAUAACUUAAUCCUCAUUGGUUACAAAUAGAAAGGAUAGCUCGAGUCUGAUACCUUCUUAUUUGUUAAAGGAUUGAAAAAAUACCCACUCCUCCAUCACAAUUUAUUUGUCAUAGUAAAAGUUAAAGUUAAAAUGGGAAGUCACAAUAUUUUAGUUGUUUACUUUCAAAUCAAAGAUGACAAACAUUUUGAGACAUCCAAAACGGAAAAAGUAGACAGACAAAUGAGAUGGCGGGAGUACGGCAAUUAUAAUCUUUCAUAUUGCUUCUGUCAAAUUAGAGAUUAGUGGGGAAUCAAUUAUGGAAACUACAUUCAAAAUGUUACCCAUGAAUGAUUAAAAUAUACUGAUGGUUUUGUCAUUUCAUCUUUUUGGUGGGAGGGCUUCUUGCCUUCUGCUUGUGAUUAUCUAUUUGCCACAAAGACACCAAGUCAGGUUUAAAAGCAGUGUCAGUCAAGGUAUAGGAAAAUACUCAAUGAAGGAAUGGGAUAUAAGAUAAUAAGAUUGUAGCUAGAGCUGAUUGGCUAAGCAAUGUAAGGGAAGUCAUACUAAAUGUGAUAAAUUCAUCAGCUAUGAUUCUGAAUAGUUUUCUUUUAAAUGCGAGAAGUUUUGAGUGAAAAUUUUCAAGGAAACCCUUGAAUAUAAACAAUAAGAUGUCCGUUUCUGUUAAAAGUUACGAACUGUGAAUGAAGUAUAUCUGUAUCACAUAUUCUCUUAGGAUCCAAGUGAAAGUUAGAGUUUCAUGGAUCUUUGACAUAUCUAAUAUUUAAAAUAAGUACACUCAACCCACUUGUGGAAAUUUUACUUGUUAUGCUUUAUAUGUGGUGCCCUGGCCUUUUGCUCCUCUAGAAAACUAACUGACAAUGUAUAACUGAUGCAAAAGUAAGCAAUAUUUUAGUCCAUUUGGAAUUUGAGAUGAAUGAAAUAGAUGAUAUUUUAUGGGCUUUAGGACCAAGGUGCUAGAAUAUUGCAUUGUUUUCUCAUGCUUUCAACAACCCAAUGGUGGAUAAAAAUUAAAAGGAAUUUCUCUAUCACUAUAUGGCUUAUUUUGUUGCUAUGUAUCAACUUGGCUUAAUUUUGUGAAGUCUUAGUGGAAGUUUUAGUUCUUCUUUAAAACUUCUUUCACUUGCAAGGUUGAACUAUGGGUCAAGCAUUUGGUUGCAUUCAAGU
rnacentral:lncRNA from 1 species